GAACACUAAGCCAGAUUCUGACUUAGUCUUGGUGCAAAGGAGGUGUCUUCCACCAGAAAAUGCUAUGUGGGAACCAUACGGAGUUAUGAAAGAUCAAUUCCACCUUGAGGACAAGGUGCUUCUCCAUUUGGAGGGUGAUGAAAGAAUCAUAUUGGUCUCUUAUAGUACUUUAAUCCCAUUGAUUAUACGCAAGGUGAGUAUAAUCCAAGUACUAC
rnacentral:lncRNA from 1 species